GUACAAGAUACCGGCACAUGUAAAGCGCAUGCGUACGCGUGCGCAGUGCUAUGCUAGUGGUCGGAAGAUGGCGUUGAGUAUGUUCGACUCGGAGACUGCUGCAGUGCACUGGAAAAAUCGUGUUUAAUCUCCGUUUUAGAAAAUGAAAGAUUUGGGGGUGACAAACCUGCUUCAGGAGUGGGACUUCCCACAUUUAGUUCCAAUCUUUAGAGUUAAAUGUUGCAGAAGAUGAGCACGAAGAAGACACCUACUGGAUGCAAUAUUACUCAUCACCUGACAACAUUGUUGUUAAUGUGACGAACCUCGGUACUGAGAUAUGAGUUGACUAGAGGAAACCCGCGACCAAGCACAGCAGAAAUUCUUGACAAAUAUCUACAGCUUUUGGGAAUGAUUGAUCAAGACUUUGAUUUAACAAUUGAUGCAGCUCCUGGUGCCCUUUUCACAAUGUGGCCAAAGUUGUCCAGGCAGACUUUGGAAUUUGCGGAGAAGAUUAAUCCAGGGUAUAGAAAGAUCCUAGGGGCUGGAGUGGACCAGAAAAUGACGCAGAGUCAACAAUGAAGAAAAUUUGGCUUUCAGUACUUCCUGGGAUUUUGAUCGGCAGAACGAAAGGGGAAUGAGGCAAAUUAAAUGUGCCGUACUUCAAAGUCUUGAAUCUUUCAUCAAUCUCCAAUUAGAAGGAGCAUGAAGAAAAAGAAGAUGAACAGGAAUUGACAAUGGCGCGUUCCAUACCUGGGAGUGAUUGCACAGUGGCACCCUUGGACCUAAUUUCACCCUGACAUCAAGUUGGUUUUAAGGAGAACCAUGAGAGAAAUUAAUAAAUUAAAGUUUGCCGAAUAUCAAAGAAUAACAGAGUUAUGAGGCU